UUUGGUCCGCGGGCCGGACUUUGCCGACUGCUGCUCUAGAAGGUUAAUAUAGGCUCUCCACCUGCUACUCCUACUCAGUACGUCUCCGUCCUACAUAACGGUAACAUGUCUCUCAAUUAUCCAAGCUACGGGAAAUAUACUACGGGUAUCCGGGAAAACCCAACCCCUUGGGCGGAUGGGUUGCAUGGCUAAUUUGAGAGAG
rnacentral:ribozyme from 1 species